UGAGAGUUAAGUCUGGUUUGUAUUCCUUGUCACUCCCGACCCGUGUAUAUACACAACUAAUAGUCUUUCAAGUCACUAUUCAUUUUCUGGAAUACUGGGUUGGCUUUGUUUUGGCAUCAAUUCAUGCCCCCACGACAGUAAACCUUCAAUAGUUCGUGCACAUUGAAUGGUCAAAUUCUCUACUUGGGUAUAAUGCCAUCCGAGGUUCUAUGGGAUAGCUUUUGUACAGAUGAAUUUUUCAAAUUUAGUAUAUUGUUGUUUUGCCUAAACUGGCUCUACAUGUUUUAUUCGAACAACUCUUUGGAAAUCAGAUAACCAUGGUUCUUUAGUAUAUUGUUGUUUUGCCUAAACUGGCUCUACAUGUUUUAUUCGAACAACUCUUUGGAAAUCAGAUAAUCAUGGUUCUGUGUUAAGUUUGAACUGAUUGCAAGUGAAGGAGUUUCUGCAAGGACUUGGAGCAGAUUCAAUAUGCGCGGUCUCUUCACUAGCUCUCCAAUCAAUUGUUGUAUCGAUAAAAGUAUAUGUGAAGUCUUGAUGGUGUAUUGAUGGGAGCAUAUUGAUGUCUGAAUAUCAGAAAUUUUACACACUAGAGCCC
rnacentral:lncRNA from 1 species